UUUAUGAAUUAUAUAUGCUCAUCCUUGAAAAUGUAAACCGAAUAUGACAUGUAAUCAACAGUAAUAUCAGCAGAGAUUUCGCUCUUAAUCAUUAGUAUAUUUCUGAUAUAAUAUAUAUCUAAGAAAAACAUUCACUAGCAUUCGGAAAACAAUGAUGUUGUGCAAUAUAAUCGAGAAAUGGCAAAAGAGCAAUAAUAAUCAAUAACAAUAAAUCAAGGGCUCGAUAAAAGGUAUAUAUCAUUAUAUUGAUAAUUAGUUGUAUCAAAGUUUAAACAGUCUUCACAUGUUGUUAAUAAAGUCGCUGAUAGUAAAUUACUUAACAGUUCUGAAUUUCUGUAUGGAGAGUUCAACAUCUGUAUGGAGAGUUCAACAUCUGUAUGGAGAGUUCAAAUAUUUGUAUGGGGAUCCGAACAAGUAAAAUUCAAGUUGUCAGACUGGAACUGUAUUGUAUAUAGUUAAUAAAUCAAACAGCAAACACAUCCUAUAAAAGCCGCAUACUGGAAAGAUCAUGCCAGGAUUAUUUAGAAACAUGUCGAAUCAGCAUCUUCAUAUGUGCCGGACGUCUGACGUAGGCAAUGUCGAGGUAUAAGAUAGUGGUCAAAAACGUCUAUCCGACCAUGGUCUCUUACCGCGAAAGAGAGGCUCGAUUCCGGAUUUUCGGUACACGGUUUGAUUUACAUCAAUACAAUUACAUUAGAUUUGCAAUAUCCGUGUAAUGGCAUAGUACGCUGAUAAAUUUAUUCACUAUCAAAUCGUGAUUUACGUGCUCCAACAACUUACAAAACGAAACCAUGGAAAGAACAGAGGAAGAAAUGACAACGCGCCUAUCACAACAGGAACGUAUAUAUGUGCCAUGUUUAGAAGAUAAUAAACCAUGGCAGAUGGCUCGGAAGGCCAACAAGACAUAGCUAGAAUAACCAUUUCUUAUAAGAAAAACACAAUAAAACGACAAAAGAUUGCUAUAAGACAGA